GCUGGGGUAGCCAAGUGGUUACGGCGCAGGCCUUGAGAGCCUGUUCCCGCAAGGGUGCCUGGGUUCGAAUCCCAGCCCCAGCG
rnacentral:tRNA from 1 species